AUUUAACGCUGGCGGCAUGCUUUACACAUGCAAGUCGAACGGUAACAGGCCUUCGGGUGCUUACGAGUGGCGAACGGGUGAGUAAUGCAUCGCAACGUACCCAGAGGUGGGGGAUAACGCACCGAAAGCUGUGUUAAUACCGCAUGUGAUCUGUGGAUGAAAGCGGGGGACCGAGCAGCAAUGUUUGUCCUCGCGCCUUUUGAGCGGCCGAUGUCGGAUUAGCUAGUUGGUGGGGUAAAGGCCUACUAAGGCGACGCCCCGUAACUGGUCUGAGAGACCGAGCAGCCAAACUGGGAAUGAGGAACGGACCAGACUCCGAGGGGAGGCAGCAGUGGGGAAUUUUGGACAAUGGGAGCAAGCCUGAUCCAGCAAUGCCGCGUGCAGAAAGAAGGCCUUCGGGUUGUAGACCGCUUUUGGCAGGAACGAAACAGUGUCCGCUAAUAACGGGAGAUAAUGACGGUACCUGAAGAAUAAGCACCGGCUAACUACGUG
rnacentral:rRNA from 1 species